UACGUAGGGUGCAAGCGUUGUCCGGAAUUAUUGGGCGUAAAGAGCUCGUAGGCGGUGUGUCGCGUCGGCCGUGAAAACCUGGGGCUCAACUCUGGGCGUGCGGUCGAUACGGGCAUCACUUGAGUUCGGCAGGGGAGACUGGAAUUCCUGGUGUAGCGGUGAAAUGCGCAGAUAUCAGGAGGAACACUGGUGGCGAAGGCGGGUCUCUGGGCCGAUACUGACGUGAGGAGCGAAAGCAUGGGUAGCGAACAGG
rnacentral:rRNA from 1 species